rnacentral:rRNA from 1 species
AGAGUUUGAUUAUGGCUCAGGAUGAACGCUAGCGAUAGGCCUAACACAUGCAAGUCGAGGGGCAGCACAUGAAGUAGCAAUACGGAUGGUGGCGACCGGCGCACGGGUGAGUAACGCGUAUGCAACCUGCCUACAACAGGGGAAUAACCCGUUGAAAGACGGACUAAUACCCCAUAACACAGGGAUCCCGCAUGGGAAUAUUUGUUAAAGAUUUAUCGGUUGUAGAUGGGCAUGCGUUCCAUUAGCUUGUUGGUGAGGUAACGGCUCACCAAGGCAACGAUGGAUAGGGGAACUGAGAGGUUUAUCCCCCACACUGGUACUGAGACACGGACCAGACUCCUACGGGAGGCAGCAGUGAGGAAUAUUGGUCAAUGGACGCAAGUCUGAACCAGCCACGCCGCGUGAAGGAAGACGGCCCUACGGGUUGUAAACUUCUUUUGUAAGGGAAUAAAGUGCAGUACGUGUACUGUUUUGCAUGUACCUUACGAAUAAGGAUCGGCUAACUCCGUGCCAGCAGCCGCGGUAAUACGGAGGAUCCGAGCGUUAUCCGGAUUUAUUGGGUUUAAAGGGUGCGCAGGCGGGAGAUUAAGUCGGCGGUGAAAUUUUGCAGCUCAACUGUAAAAGUGCCUUCGAAACUGGUUUUCUUGAGUGUGGAUGAAGUAGGCGGAAUUUGUGGUGUAGCGGUGAAAUGCAUAGAUAUCACGAGGAACUCCGAUUGCGCAGGCAGCUUACUAAACCAUAACUGACGCUCACGCACGAAGGCGUGGGGAUCAAACAGGAUUAGAUACCCUGGUAGUC